GAUGAACGCUGGCGGCGUGCCUAAUACAUGCAAGUCGAGCGAAUGGAUUAAGAGCUUGCUCUUAUGAAGUUAGCGGCGGACGGGUGAGUAACACGUGGGUAACCUGCCCAUAAGACUGGGAUAACUCCGGGAAACCGGGGCUAAUACCGGAUAAUAUUUUGAACUGCAUGGUACAAAAUUGAAAGGCGGCUUCGGCUGUCACUUAUGGAUGGACCCGCGUCGCAUUAGCUAGUUGGUGAGGUAACGGCUCACCAAGGCAACGAUGCGUAGCCGACCUGAGAGGGUGAUCGGCCACACUGGGACUGAGACACGGCCCAGACUCCUACGGGAGGCAGCAGUAAGGAAUCUUCCGCAAUGGACGAAAGUCUGACGGAGCAACGCCGCGUGAGUGAUGAAGGCUUUCGGGUCGUAAAACUCUGUUGUUAGGGAAGAACAAGUGCUAGUUGAAUAAGCUGGCACCUUGACGGUACCUAACCAGAAAGCCACGGCUAACUACGUGCCAGCCGCCGCCGUAA
rnacentral:rRNA from 1 species